AAUAUCAUCGUCACUAAGGAAGGAAUCGCACGCCCAUUUCCACGCCGGACCGGCGGGUCCUCACUCUCUCAAUCAUUUUCACGAACGCAGAAAAAGCAGACCCCAUUUCACCCCAUGGCUCUAUCGACGCGGCAGCGCCGUCCUCUACUGUCCGAUGUCACCUCAUCGUCGUCGGAACCGUACACGAAGGUUAAUAAACCUCGCAGAUCGAAUGUCGGGGAUGAGGAGGAUAAGGGAUUAGGAUGGUUCCUGCCUUUGCUUUCUUUGGGAAUUUUAAGAUACAUGAGUGCCACUUCAAAUAUCAUACAUGACUGCGAUGAAGUCUUCAACUAUUGGGAGCCUCUCCAUUAUCUUCUUUACAAGUCUGGAUUCCAAACCUGGGAAUACAGCUCUCAGUUUGCACUUCGGUCUUAUUUGUAUAUUAAUUUCCAUGAACUAGUGGGUCUACCUGCUUCCUGGUUGUAUGGAGAGGAAAAAGUGAGAGUAUUCUAUGCAGUAAGACU
rnacentral:misc_RNA from 1 species